CCGCAUGUCUUCCCCCCUCUCCUUCCCCGUUUCCUGUCAGUCUACUGUCAUAUAAGGGACACUAGAGCCCACAAAAGACCCCCUGGAGGGGUAAAAACAAAAAAAAUGUUCUGGAACAUUCUAAACAAAAGGCAGAGUACAAAACACUGUAUGACUGGUGACAUUUUUAUUCUAUUUGUGAAAACAAAAAACCUUUAAAGGUAAAAGAAAAUCUAAUUUACAUGUACUACAAAGCUUUUGAUAGGAGCCAUGUUGUUAUUUAAUGUGUGAAGACUAAUUCUGUCUUUUUUGUACUAGUUCAAAUAUAGGUUAUUCAUAAAUGUGGUAAAAUAGUCCUUUUAAAUCAAUGGUUUGGAUAAAUAAACAAAUACUUUAUUUUAAGGAUUUACUCUUCUGUGUUGAAAAUUAGAAUUUUCUUACUUUGACAAAGACCGUGGAUAAGAAGCAGUGUCACAAAAAACAAGCAAUCUUUCUGACAAGAAAUUGAAUUACGAAAUGCCCCAAAUUAAAAUGUCAGGAAUAACUUGACAAAACAUCUGAAUCCUUCCUUUGAGGCCAACCAGUCUAUCUUUUGCCCUGGAAACUCUUAGUGUCCCUGUCUUGAGGAAUUUUAUUUGGAAAGUUCAAUUGUUCAUUUUAAGUCCAUGUUUUUACGUUUUAUUUAUUCAAUAUGAUUGUUCAGUCACCGACCAAGCCCCAGUUGGUAAGGACCUCCGUCCAUGGCUGCUUUCCAGCCGCGCUCAAUCCAGCACGCAUUCUCCAUGUCUGACUUUGUGUCUGAUAUCCCACCGGUUUCUCCGGUUGCUUCUCUUAGGGAUGUCAGUCCCCCCACCUCUUCCCCAGCUCGCCACAGCGCUCGCCUAGCCUCGCGUUCGGAUCCCUUGUUCCCCACUUCUAUCCUCAUCAAGAGGGAGAUUAGGCAUCGCCCUCAUCGCCCUCAUCUCCAGUCUCCUUCAGUUGCCUCGCUUCCAGAUCUUUCCACUCAUGCUUCAAAUCCAACCCCAGAAGCUCCCAGCCUGUCUUCAGGUCAUCGCUCUCUAUAUCCUCUCCUUCCACCCAGACGCACCUCUUCACAUCCGCGCUUCUCACCUCCAUGGACUCUCUCCAGCACUCUAUAUCUUCGCUCUCAGCUCUCCUACACCACAGCGUUCCUGAUGCCAUGAACACGUCCAUAGUUCCCUUCACUUCCUCACUCAUCACCUCUCAGCCCACCCCUCAACUACCCCCUAUGGCUUUCACCCUCGCCAACGCCCAUCCUGCACCCCCUCUAGGUAAUUCCAUCUCUCCUUUUUCCCCCCUUUUCUCUAUUUUCCCAGCUCAUUAGCACGGCUUAUACGCCUCUAUGCUCAGAUAUCUCUGCCAGGCUCCGUACAACGAUACUUCAAAGGCAGUAUGUAAAUCUGGCUUCCAUGCUCUUACCCUCCCCCAAAGUUGACCAACUCGUCACUUCGACAGAUCAUUUUUCCACUAUUCUCAAAACGUCAGACCCCUGUCUCUCGAAGGAUCUUUCCAUUGGACAAUUCCUAGUUGCAUUCAGUGUUUUUAGAGACGUAAUAUGUUCUGUAUACCUCGAACGCAGAGUUGAACUAGAUGCUUAUUUGGCUCUAAUCGCCGACCUCCAUAUGCAAUACGGUCGGUUGCUGUUCUAUCAGUACCACAAAGCUUUUGCCACAGUCCUCUCCCGUUCCGGUCAGUGUCUUAAUUGGUCUAUCUUGGAUAUGAAAAUUCUCAUCAUGCUCACACAAGCAAUCGCAUGCUAAAUGUGUGGCUUUAUCAGCCAUCAGAGCUCCUUUUGCCCUUCUUUCCCUUUCAAACCUAAUCCCACCGUCGUCACUCCUCCGCAGCCUCUCCUAAAUCUUGACCCGCUCGAUCACCACAGAAGAAAGUUGCAGAUACUUAACAAUAUGGCCAUCUGUAAUAACUUCAAUGAAAGCAUUUGUUCAUUUCCCAAUUGUGCUUUCCUUCACUUAUGUAGUCUCUGCAGAUAUGCCCAUCCAAAGUCAGUCUGUCCCGCCACCCACUUCCCAACAAGAACCGUCGAGGUUUCAGGAAUUAGUUUCCCGUUACCUCUCUACUCCUAUCCUCGCCCCCGAAUUAGCCACUCUUUUACAAUGCCACCCAGAUGACCCAUUUGUUAAUUUUCUAAUUACCGGUCUCUCCCAGGGUUUUUUAAUAGGUGUUCCUCAUUUUCCCCGCCUCUUCCCUCGUCAUUCCCAAUCUCCAGUCAGCUCUCCAUGAACUGGCUAUUGUUUCCAGCUGUUACUGAAAGAAGUGUCUAAAGGUUAAGUGAUCGGCCCCUUUGAUUCCCCCCCUCCACCCCUCUACCGCGUCAAUCCUCUCGGCGUGGCAACCAGAAAAUUUUCGGGCAAAAAACGUCUAAUCUGCGUUCUCUCUGCGCCUCAUUCCAGUCCUCAUUCUAGUAUUAAUAGUCUCACCCCAAAGCCACCCUUUUCCCUUUUUUAUGCCACAAUAGAUCAUGCUAUUUCGCUUAUUAAAACUGCCAGGUGGGGCACGUGGCUGGCUAAAGCUGACAUUACUGAUGCUUUCAAGAUCAUGCCCGUGCAUCCUUCUCAGUGGCAUCUACAAGGCGCUAAAUGGGAUGCCAAAUAUUAUUUUUUUGUGCACCUGACACAAUUUUCACAAUUUUAUUUUUAUGUCAAUCCAGAUUAUAACAUUACAUCAGACAAAUUCAAAGUAUUUUCAUGCAGACAUGUGGCUUUAGACUGUUGAAACUUUACUCAACAGUGUUCAGCCUCCCUGUCUGGCCCUAUUAUUAGCUCUAAAUAAACUGGUGAAGCAUAUUGAAAACAAGCAUGGAAUGGCUUCAUGAUUUUUUAAUACCACUGAAAUUAAAUCAGAAAAAAAGAGGAAUUACCAGCAUACCC